AACAGGGCGAUUAGUCGGAAGGAGUAGACGCGAAACCAAGUGAUCUACCCUUGGUCAGGUUGAAGGUUAGGUAACACUAACUGGAGGACCGAACCGAUAAGCGUUGAAAAGCUUCCGGAUGAACUGAGGGUGGGGGUGAAAGGCUAAUCAAACUUGGAGAUAGCUCGUACUCCCCGAAAUGCAUUUAGGUGCAGCCUUGGGAAUUACUACUGUGAGGUAGAGCGACUGAUAAGAUGCGAGGGCUUCACCGCCUAUCAAGUCUUGAUAAACUCCGAAUGCGCAGUAGUUCGAUCCCAGGAGUGAGGGCAUGGGUGCUAAGGUCCAUGUCCUAAAGGAGAAGAAUCCAGACCAUCAGCUAAGGUCCCGAAAUAAUUGCUAAGUUGAACUAACGAAGUCAGAUUGCUAAGACAGCUAGGAUGUUGGCUUGGAAGCAGCCAUUCAUUUAAAGAGUGCGUAACAGCUCACUAGUCGAGGAGUUUGGCGUGGAUAAUAAUCGGGCAUCAAGUAUUUUACCGAAGCUAUGGGAUCAGUAAUGAUCGGUAGGGGAGCAUUCCACUCUGCGUCGAAGGUGAAGCGUGAGCUUUGCUGGAGCGUGUGGAAAAGCAAAUGUAGGUAUAAGUAACGAUAAAGGGGGUGAGAAACCCCCUCGCCGAAAGACUAAGGUUUCCUGAUCAACGCUAAUCGGAUCAGGGUUAGUCGGGUCCUAAGGCUCAGCCGAACGGUGAGGCCGAUGGCAGAACAGGUUAAUAUUCCUGUACUACCUUAAGGAGUGACGUGGAGACGGAGGAGUGACAGCGCCGCGGACUGACGGAAUAGUCCGUUGAAGGGUGUAGAUGUUGAUUAUCCCAGGCAAAUCCAGGAUAAGAGUCGAACCUGAUAGUAUACCAAAUUCUUCGGAAUAAGGUAAUAGUGCGUGUAAGCAUACUCCCAAGAAAAUCCGCUAAACUUAAUCUUUAAGGUACCCGUACCGCAAACGGACACACGUAGUCGGGUUGAAUAUACUAAGGCGCUUGAGUGAUUCACGGUUAAGGAACUAGGCAAAUUGACCCUGUAACUUCGGGAUAAAGGGUCCCAACGAGAGUUGGGCGCAGAGAAUAGGUCCAGGCAACUGUUUAACAAAAACACAGGGCUGUGCCAAAUUGAAAGAUUACGUAUACAGCCUGAGAGCUGCCCGGUGCUGGAAGGUUAAGAGGAGAUGUCAUCGCAAGAGAAGCAUUGAAUUGAAGCCCGAGUAAACGGCGGCCGUAACUAUAACGGUCCUAAGGUAGCGAAAUUCCUUGUCGGGUAAGUUCCGACCUGCACGAAUGGUGUAAUGAUCUGGACACUGUCUCAACCGUGAGCUCAGUGAAAU
rnacentral:rRNA from 1 species